GGGGCUGUAAGCUUCGACAUUUGGACAUUUACAAGUUGGUUUUGCAGGUCGCUUGUCAGCGUUAUAGGCACAUCUGAAUAGAUGCAAAAGAUUCACUUACUGCAAUGGUAAAUCGUGUGCAAAACAUGCGGUUUGCUGGCGCAUUACAAGCAGCUUAAUUGUCGCUUGGGCUGUCGGUUCGACAUCAGAUAGAACCAACCAGUCUCAUAUUCAUCUGAUUGCUUAAAUACUGUGAUCCAUAGUAUUUACUAAGAAUUCAGGAUUGCAGCACAUAAUGUUUUUGUCCGUUUUCAUCAUCAUGGGCUAAAGAAACCAUCCAAACAGACUAUACCUGUAGACCGCCAACUAGUAACCGAAUGGACGCGGGAUCAAACCCGCCAGCUCCACCA
rnacentral:tmRNA from 1 species